AUUUUUGAUAAUAUUUCUAUGUGGAUAAAUUUUUAGUUAAUUAAGCUAAUUUUAAGCAUAGCUAGUCAUAAAGGCCCAAGUUUCUAGCCCAUUCCUUAAGUCCAAUACCCAAUAACCAUUAAGCUAACCCUAGGGACCCUUCUAGACUCUUCUUUGGAAUAAAAAAUAAAUGAAGAGACCCUAAGGACCUAAGAGCAAUUAACACAAAAAUACACAUUUAGACCUAGACCUAUAUAAUAGGGGUAACACCUAUCAGCUAAGGGGGAGGAGAGCGCCUAAAAGAUCUAGAAAAAGAAAAGGCGCUUGAGUAAAUAAGUCAGCGACAGAGAACCAAAACGACCCCCACCCCCUGUACAGAAGCUUCACCUUUUUCACCUAGCGAGAACCAGCUUCAGCCGCCGGCGAUUCAGCCCCAAACUCGCCGGAGAAACAGCCAUCAACGGCGUUCCAAUAGCCCUCCACCGUUCUGCUUCUUCAACCUUCCAAUUACCCCUCCUCUGAAAAAACACAGUAGAAUACACAACGACCACCCUCAUCUCUCAUCUUUGUCACUCUCUCAACAAUAUAACACACAAACAUAAUAAGAAGAGUAAGGAAGUUGCGCAACAGAUUAUGGCUAUAAACUAAGGCUUGAAGCUGGUUGAAUCGCCGAUUGAGGGAGUUCAUCCGAGGUCCGGGUGCAGUUCCGGUUUGUCGAUUUUCUGUUGAUUGCAAAAAUCAAAUCCGAAUCUCUUUAGUAAAACCUUUUAAGGGUUUCAAUGAAAGAUUCCGAAUGGAUUCUUGUAAAAGAACCAACCAACGGAGAUAUAUGAAAUCCAUACUUUAACAAUGCUGGAGAAAGUUUGUUGUCUCUUGAGAUAAGGUUCCAUGACUCACCUAAGCAUUGGACGAUAUUCUUCCGAUUGGUAAUGGGCGUCUUUGGUGCUACGGUUUGGGGAUAUUCCUUUGAGAUUCUCUAUUUUAACUGUAAGCUUAUUUCCUUCCGGCUUUCUUACAUGUAUCUUUAAUCUAUUAAAUAUGAUUAUUUGUGAUA